AUGAACGCUGGCGGCGUGCUUAACACCUGCAAGUCGAACGGAAAGGCUCCUGCUUGCAGGGGUACUCGAGUGGCGAACGGGAGAGUAACACGUGGGGGAUCUGCCCUGCACUUCGGGAUAAGCCUGGGAAACUGGGUCUAAUACCGGAUAGGACGAUGGUUUGGAUGCCAUUGUGGAAAGUUUUUCGGUGUGGGAUGAGCUCGCGGCCUAUCAGCUUGUUGGUGGGGUAAUGGCCUACCAAGGCGUCGACGGGUAGCCGGCCUGAGAGGGUGUACGGCCACAUUGGGACUGAGAUACGGCCCAGACUCCUACGGGAGGCAGCAGUGGGGAAUAUUGCACAAUGGGCGGAAGCCUGAUGCAGCGACGCCGCGUGGGGGAUGACGGCCUUCGGGUUGUAAACUCCUUUCGCUAGGGACGAAGCGCAAGUGACGGUACCUGGAGAAGAAGCACCGGCUAACUACGUG
rnacentral:rRNA from 1 species